rnacentral:rRNA from 1 species
CGGCGGACGGGUGAGUAACGCGUAUCCAACCUGCCGUCUACUCUUGGACAGCCUUCUGAAAGGAAGAUUAAUACAAGAUGGCAUCAUGAGUCCGCAUGUUCACAUGAUUAAAGGUAUUCCGGUAGACGAUGGGGAUGCGUUCCAUUAGAUAGUAGGCGGGGUAACGGCCCACCUAGUCUUCGAUGGAUAGGGGUUCUGAGAGGAAGGUCCCCCACAUUGGAACUGAGACACGGUCCAA